rnacentral:rRNA from 1 species
AGAUUGAACGCUGGCGGCAGGCCUAACACAUGCAAGUCGAGCGGCAGCACGGGUACUUGUACCUGGUGGCGAGCGGCGGACGGGUGAGUAAUGCCUAGGAAUCUGCCUGGUAGUGGGGGAUAACGCUCGGAAACGGACGCUAAUACCGCAUACGUCCUACGGGAGAAAGCAGGGGACCUUCGGGCCUUGCGCUAUCAGAUGAGCCUAGGUCGGAUUAGCUAGUUGGUGGGGUAAUGGCUCACCAAGGCGACGAUCCGUAACUGGUCUGAGAGGAUGAUCAGUCACACUGGAACUGAGACACGGUCCAGACUCCGUACGGGAGGCAGCAGGUAGGGGAAUAG